rnacentral:rRNA from 1 species
AUGAACGCUGGCGGCGUGCCUAAUACAUGCAAGGCGAGCGAACAGAUAAGGAGCUUGCUCCUUUGACGUUAGCGGCGGACGGGUGAGUAACACGUGGGUAACCUACCUAUAAGACUGGAAUAACUCCGGGAAACCGGGGCUAAUGCCGGAUAACAUUUAGAACCGCAUGGUUCUAAAGUGAAAGAUGGUUUUGCUAUCACUUAUAGAUGGACCCGCGCCGGAUUAGCUAGUUGGUAAGGUAACGGCUUACCAAGGCAACGAUACGUAGCCGACCUGAGAGGGUGAUCGGCCACACUGGAACUGAGACACGGUCCAGACUCCCACGGGAGGCAGCAGUAGGGAAUCUUCCGCAAUGGGCGAAAGCCUGCCGGAGCAACGCCGCGUGAGUGAUGAAGGUCUUCGGAUCGUAAAACUCUGUUAUUAGGGAAGAACAAAUGUGUAAGUAACUGUGCACGUCUUGACGGUACCUAAUCAGAAAGCCACGGCUAACUACGUG